CAGCUUGGGAAACACUCCUAAGCAAAUGAGAUCUUGUGAAGUAUUGUGGUGUCAACAGAAUCAUUAUUGCAUCAAAAUCUGAGAACACUCAGAUAAAAGUUGCCCUACCUAUGGGCUCCUGGGGACAUUUUCAUGCCUUCAUGGCAGCAAGUAGACUUCAGAAUCUACCUCUGGCCCUGUCCCUUCGUGGCCACAAAGCUGGACACCCUCUCCCGGCCAUGCCUGCCAACCUCACAACUCUGCUUCCAGUCUCAGCUCCACCAAGAAAAGCUUCGGAACCACAGAAACGCGUUCUGGGGAAUGAGUUUGUUUAAAGCCUUCGCUGUUGGUUUUAGUCAAAAUUUUUAAAAUAUCUUAAAAGCACGAUUGAUAUAUAAACUAAAAUAGAACUGCAACUUCAGAGAAAAUAAAAAUAGACUUAUCGUAGACUAGCAAUUAAUACCAUGAUAAAUCUAUUUUCAUAUUUCUUUUCUCUUAUUUCAGAAAGUAAGAAUAAAAUGGCUUUGCUUAAAUAUAAAAACCUAACCAUCUCUUCCCAUCUUAUCUACUUCCUUGUACUAGAUGGUUUCCCCAAACCUAACAAGAGUUCCCUAAAGCUGGUUCUAUCAUUAAAAUUAUAGGAGAUCUUGCAGUUAAGGCUUGGCCCACUCUGAACAAAUAUUCCCAAUCUCCAAUUUCAAACCUAUUUUCCUCUUCCUGAAUUGAUUGCAUAUUGACCUAGAGAAGAUAAAGACAAAGAUACUUAGGAAGGUAACACUGGCAGCCAAUUGGGUAGAAUAGCUGGAAAAGUCCAUUUAAGAGUGAAAUGAUGUAUAAUUAAAGGUAGGUUAUCACCAGUUUUUGAAUUCUUGCUAGAUGUUGAAAUUAGAUGUAUUGAAUAAAAAGCAUGGGGCUUAAAGUCUGAGGAACUUUAAAAAUGCUUUCAAAAUCCCAGCUCUGCUUCUUAGCUGCUCUUGGCAUUGGAGAAGUUACAUAUCCUCUGAGUUUCCGUUUGCUCAUCAGUAAAAUUCAGUCAGUGGCACACAGUAGGAACAACACCGGAGUCAUUGAAUAAGUGGAUAGAGGAACGGUUGAUAUUCAUCGAAUCAAAAAUUGUUUACCAAACCCAGACUUAGCGGAUCCAAGACAAAGAGAAGGGAGUUGACAGAGAAUUAUGUUUUAAUGGAAUAACAAGGCAAAUGGAGAAAGGAGAUUGAUUUUGAAAAAGUUGAAAGAGCUUCAGAACUAUGGAGAGCCUCCUGACUGAUUGAGGUAUUUAAACCUCAAAAUAAUUUCCCAACCUCAUUUUUAGUAAAGGAAGGCAGUUAUAUUUAAAAAAAAAACAAAAAGUAAGAGCGAAAACACGUGCCUCUAUGAGCCCGAAUAAAUCCAGUUUCUACAACACUCAGGAUGACCAGUGGGUC
rnacentral:lncRNA from 1 species